GACGAACCGAGCGAACGUUGUUCGGAAUCACUGGGCAUAAAGGGUGCGUAGGCGGGCCACCAAGUCUGUGGUGAAAUUCUCUGGCUUAACCAGAGUAGGGCCGCGGAUACUGGGGGCCUGGAGGGAGAUAGGGGCGUGCGGAAUUCCUGGUGUAGCGGUGAAAUGCGCAGAUAUCAGGAGGAACACCGGUGGCGAAGGCGGGUCUCUGGGCCGAUACUGACGCUGAGGCACGAAGGCCAGGGGAGCAAACGGG
rnacentral:rRNA from 1 species